GCAUGAGCAGUCAGCAACUCAGCAGAGUCAAGCUGUCUUUGUCUUCGAUCAAGCAUGCGCUUUUAUACGAAAAGUUUGUGAAUUAAUUUAAAUACAAUGUUAUUUCAUUUUCUUAAAACAGUGAUAUGUUAAAUACAAUGCAUUAAGCUAAAAUCACGAUAUCUUUGACACAAAAAGGUUAUAAAAACUGCAACACAGUAACUUGCAAAGAUUCGCAAUGUCUACACGAAGAGCUAGAAUAAAAGCCGUGGCCUCACUGCCGGUGAGGAGGAAAAAUGCGGAUAGCCAAGUUAAAGAUGAAAAGCCUAUUAAAAGUCCAAAAACACCACGACCACAGGUUUUGCAAGAUGAGUCUACGAAAAUAAAAACUCCCGUGAAUAAAAUUGCAUCGCCUCUGCAACUGUCGCAAGAACAAUCUAAAACAGAGACUCCAAAACCUGCAGAGGCUAUCCUAUCACCGCCUCCUAGAAGCCUACCAACUCCAGAUGUUGUUAAAACUCCAAUACGCAGUGAAAAAGUGCCUGUUAUCACAUCAAUAUCGCGGCAGAGUUCAAACACAUUUGCGUCACCAUUGCGAUGGAACAGUCCUGCUAGGAAGGCAGUUGCUUCACCAGUCAGGAACUCUCCCCAGCACAGAACACCUUCAGUAAUUACUGAGGUCAUAUGUGAGAGACUUGAUUCUCCGAAUAGUGUUCAAAGCAAUCCAGAUGCUAGGGAAAAACAAAAGAAUGUUCCUAAUUUGGUGGAGAGAGUGGUUCAAAAGAAUGUUAUACAGAAGAUUGAAACUACAGAAGAUUACAACCCACCUAGCAUUCCAGAGAGCAUUACAGAUGAAACAGGCAUGGAUGGUAUCAUUCCCUUACAACCGACGCGCAGCGCUCCCAAGCCUCUAGACUUGCUGAAGAAUGAGAUCAUAUCAGAGAACGCUCAAGUGCUGUUUGACCCUAUUGUUCCUUUGCCAUCUCCGAGCAAAGUGCGUCCGAAGCUUAGACCUGCACCCAGACUUGCACCACAUAGGAGGAAUAGCAUACAAGGAAGUGCGAGUGAGUCGGAGGAUGAGAGUCGGCGAGCGCUGCUCAACAGCGGCGCGCCGACGCCGGUGCCGACACGACAACGACACGACUCCCACACGUCGCAUAGCACUCUGCAUUCCUUACCUAAUAGAGAGGUCAGCCGCAUUCGGAACGACUCUGUGUGUUCAGGUGUGAGCCAACUCACCGCGCCGCCGCCGGCGUCACCGCUUAAGGAGCGACAUGUCACUAAAUGUCGACGACAAGAGAUGUCGCGCCGCAUCGCCGCGAUGCGCAGGCGGCGGGACCCGGUGAAGCGAGACGCGCUCACCAUGUACGACCUCAUCUUCUACAACCCCACUACCAACCCCAUUGUCCCAGACCAAGACGAGCUGAAAGCCAAAGAAGCUAAUCAGAAGGACGAAGAAGAGAGGAAGAAAGUGCCCGUGGAAGAAGAAGCGGAUGACCCGGACGACCCGCCGGCUGACGCCGCGCCGGUGCCGCAGAUCAAACUGGGACCUAACGGAGAAAUCAUGUUGGACGAACAGAGCUUGGUUAUAAAACAAACCGACAGCAACCGCAAGCUAUCAUCCUCAAUCGUCCGCGAAGGCGCCUGGGGCGGCGGCGGCGGCCGCUACUCACGCACGGCGCGAACGGCAGACUGGAGCGAAGCCGAGACAGUGCGGUUUUACCGAGCGCUGGCUGCCGUGGGCACGGACUUUACACUCAUGGCACCGCUGUUCCCCGAUCGGAAUAGGAGAGAUUUGAAGAUUAAAUUUAAAAAAGAAGAAAGACUGAACGGCGCGCAAGUGGACAAAGCGCUGCGCUCUCAAAUAGCCUGGGACGCCGUGGGCCUCGAAGAUGUGUUCUCUCGCGAGCGCGAGGACGCCGCACGUCGCGCUGAGGCCGAAAGGGAACAACUACAGGCGGCGAAGAAAGCCUAUAAGGAACGCGCCAAGGCCUUGCAACAGUUGCGCGUCAGGAACAGUCGAGGAGCAAAAGCUCUAGAAACAGCCCCCGAGCCCGCUCCCCGCGAGCUGAUCACAGCCAACGACUUCAUCCAGCAUGCGCUCGCCAACAAACCGCGCAGGAAACGCAGGACGCCCGACCCUAUCGCAACUCCCAACCAGGACAGCCCACAGAAAAACACACCCAAAAUGCCCCCUCUCACCAACAUGGCCAGAAUAGACCCCCCGACACAAGUACCACCAAACAUAGAAGCUGGCUCAUUAGUUGUCUUAACUGUCAACGAUCCAAAAUCACCCACUAAGAAAAUGCUACAGACUUAUAUCUCACGCGGUGCCGGUCAGUUGACCCCGGUAGCUUUACCACCAAACUUACUCACUUCAGUCAUGGGAUAUGUGAAGAAAGGUACUCCUAGAAGCAACGUGUCUUCGCCGUUAUUGUCUCCUGCGAGUGUUGCCAGUGCGGAUAGUAGAACCAGUGCUAGUAACAUGACUAGUGUUAUACAAGUGAAUCCGAGCCCUAAUAAGAGACAGAGACACAGUUCUUAUACUAUAACGCAGCUUUAGUGUUUGUUGUUGCACGAGAUUGUGAUCAUGUUUUAACUUAUUAAUAUUUUAAGUUCGUUGGGUCAUGUAAUUUGAUUCGGCAUGCCAAUGCCCUUUUACUUUUUUUUAUUCAUCCUAGCUAAACAAUGAACGAGUGCCUUACGUGAUAAAAAAUAUAUAACAGCUUGUUACAGCCAGCGGCAAACAGUCGUAGUGUUAAUCGGGCACUAGUGUGAUAUUAAUGAUAAAGCCAACAUCGAACAUUUUGUAAGUGUGAAACGGACGCACCCACGCGAUAAACUACAUCAAACUAGUAUGGUAGGCCCAUUCAUCAUUCUGAACACUUCGUCCGCUAAUCGCUACUGCUGCUUUACAUGCACAUUUUGUUGUUUUUACUUAAUGUUAAAACUGGCUCGUCCAGUUGUUUAUUAGGGGUUGAAGUUUCAAUGUGAAUGAAACUCAUAAGACAAGAUGUAAAUAUUAUAUAAAUGCAAGUUUGGCAAUUCAUAAUGGAAACUGUUAAAAGUGCUAGUAGUGUUAACUAGGUAUUAUAAAUAUGUAUAAAACUUUUAGCUGUUAUUUUAACUUUUUUAAGUACAUAAAUUAUUGAUAA